UCUGGUUGAUCCUGCCGGACCCGACUGCUAUCAGAGUAGGACUAAGCCAUGCGAGUCAACGUAGCAAUACGUGGCAUACGGCUCAGUAACACGUAGUCAACAUGCCCAAAGGACGUGGAUAACCUCGGGAAACUGAGGAUAAACCGCGAUAGGUCAUGAUAUCUGGAAUGAUUCAUGGCUCAAAUCUAUAUGGCCUUUGGAUUGGACUGCGUCCGAUCAGGCUGUUGGUGAGGUAAUGGCCCACCAAACCUAUAACCGGUACGGGCUUUGAGAGGAGGAGCCCGGAGAUGGGCACUGAGACAAGGGCCCAGGCCCUAUGGGGCGCAGCAGGCGCGAAACCUCUGCAAUAGGCGAAAGCUUGACAGGGUUACUCUGAGUGAUCUCCGAUAAGGAGAUCUUUUGGCAUCUCUAAAAAUGAUGCAGAAUAAGGGGUGGGCAAGUCUGGUGUCAGCCGCCGCGGUAAUACCAGCACCCCGAGUGGUCGGGACGAUUAUUGGGCCUAAAGCAUCCGUAGCCGGUUCUGCAAGUCUUCCGUUAAAUCCAGCUGCUCAACAGAUGGGCUGCGGGAGAUACUACAGAGCUAGGAGGCGGGAGAGGCAAGCGGUACUCAGUGGGUAGGGGUAAAAUCCGUUGAUCCAUUGAAGACCACCAGUGGCGAAGGCGGCUUGCCAGAACGCGCUCGACGGUGAGGGAUGAAAGCUGGGGGAGCAAACCGGAUUAGAUACCCGGGUAGUCCCAGCUGUAAACGAUGCAGACUCGGUGAUGGAUUAGCUACAUGCUAAUCCAGUGCCGCAGGGAAACCGUUAAGUCUGCCGCCUGGGGAGUACGGUCGCAAGACUGAAACUUAAAGGAAUUGGCGGGGGAGCACCACAAGGGGUGAAGCCUGCGGUUCAAAUGGAUUCAACGCC
rnacentral:rRNA from 1 species